AGAUCCCAGAGCCGGAGGGAAGCUGAGGUUGCUAUGGCAACUGCCGGAGCCCGCUCACCAUGGAUGCUGGAGGUGGAAGGUCGCUGGCUGCUAAUACACAGGGGGUCCCCACUAACCCAGGCUUGCUCGGUACUCUGCUGAGGACGACCUUGUGUUCCUGAUCCUCCUGCCUUUCACAUGUGGACUGCUGGGAUUACCGGUGAGCACACUCUGCUCAGUUGACAGGAUGCUGAUCCAGGAACCCAGGGCUCACCUCAGCUGUCGCCUCCCUCAUGCCCACCCUGCCUCCGGGGAGCUUCUUUUCUCCACCAGAGGGUCCGAGGAGCUGGAGUUGCAGGUCUCUAAAAGCCCAGGUUGGCCUCAAACUCAGAGUAUAGCAGAAGAUGGCCUUGAACUUCUGAUUGUGGGGUCUCAGGCUGUCCAAACAUCCAGAAAUAAGCUCGGUCUGGACGACGGAAGGAAGGGGUUCUGGCGAUUAGAUAAAAGCCAGCAUUCCUUGUGAAAACUGUUCCCAUCUACGGGAGAUUUCCCUGCACUUUGGCAGAAGGGACGGUGACUCUCCAUGGACAGAACCUGUGGCUGUAGGUCAGAGCCCAUGCCACCUCUAGGCUCCCGCAGUCUCUGUUCCCAAGUACUUGUUACACAUUUCAAAGCCCCCUCCCCCAGUCUCCGGCCCUCCCCCCUUAGCUCCCCUCCUCUACCUAAUAACUCACUGUUCAGUACCUAGUCCUGUGCUAUUCUCUUAUUCUCCCACGCUCCCUCACGAUGGAUGCCCCAUUCUCUAGCUCCUUCUGUCUCGCCAUCUCCGCUAUUCUCUCCCGCUCUCCCGCUCUCCUAGCCCUGGCCAGGUCCAGUCCGCCAGCCAUGUUCAGUCUGCUGCUUCUCUCUCUGCUCUGGGCUCUUCCAGAUGCCUCCCUCCGGCUGUCCUCUCUCUCCUGUCCACGGCGCAAACCUUCGUUGUAUCAUGCUGGCCGUUUCUUCAGCCUGCAUCCACCUUCUGAGCGCUGGAUUAGAGAUCGGCACUGCUGCACCCGAUGGCAUUCUGUGCUUUGGAUGGAGCCCAGGGCUUCCUGUGUGCUAAGCCAAGGUUCAACCAACUGAGUCACAGCAGCCCCUGGCCUGAUGACUGCAGAGGGAGUCGUCUGCCCCUUCCAUUGUGGUAGCGACUGUCCGCUUGUGGCAUGCGCUGACCCAGACAAGCUUACAAAAGAAAGAGAAUGAAUUAAAAGGGCUCUCCCUUUGUCUAGUGA